rnacentral:rRNA from 1 species
GGGGUGCAGCAGGCGCGAAAACUUUACAAUGCCGGCAACGGCGAUAAGGGGACCUCGAGUGCCAGGUUACAAAUCUGGCUGUCGUGAUGCCUAAAAGGCAUUGCAUAGCAAGGGCCGGGCAAGACCGGUGCCAGCCGCCGCGGUAACACCGGCGGCUCGAGUGGUAACCGUUAUUAUUGGGUCUAAAGGGUCUGUAGCCGGCCGGAUAAGUCUCUUGGGAAAUCCAGCAGCUCAACUGUUGGGCUUCCAGGAGAUACUGUUCGGCUCGAGGCCGGGAGAGGUGAGAGGUACUUCAGGGGUAGGGGUGAAAUCUUGUAAUCCUUGAAGGACCACCAGUGGCGAAGGCGUCUCACCAGAACGGACCUGACGGCAGGGGUCGAAAGCUAGGGGCACGAACCGGAUUAGAUACCCGGGUAGUCCUAGCCGUAAACGAUACUCGCUAGGUGUCGGCCACGGUGCGACCGUUGUCGGUGCCGUAGGGAAGCCGUGAAGCGAGCCACCUGGGAAGUACGGCCGCAAGGCUGAAACU